AGCAAUGUGUCUGAUUUAAGUAAUAAAUUGUAAAUUUAUUUAAAAGAUAAUAUUCUUCAUUGCUA
rnacentral:tRNA from 1 species